rnacentral:snRNA from 1 species
GCCUAUUUUUGGAAAGGU